GGAGUUUUGCAUUUGAGGGGGAGCAUGCAUUCUUUUGCUCUUGUGCAUGCAUUUCAUUGUGGCAUGUUUUUCAGGGGGAGCUUGUGAGUUUGGUGUUCUCUUUUGCUCUUUUGCAGGUUGUGUUGAGAUGUUACCUCUUCUUGAGGAACAGGCAUUUGGUUUGAGCUUUCGAUCGUCACAUGAUUGGUGUUGAGCCCUAUCUGCCUCUUCUUGAGGGAUCAUGCGUUUUUAAUCUUCACAUGAUUGGUGUUGAGCCCUUUUUGCCUCUUCCUGAGGGAUCAUGUGUUGUUUUGUCUCAGUUGUGUUGAGCCAUUGCCCAUGUCUUUGGGGACCGAGACUUUUCCAAGUUGAUUUGUCCUUUGUGAUGCUUUUCAUGCCGAGUGACUUUAAUCAUAGUUUUUACUUGACUUUUGAUCACUUGGAUGAGAUUUUUAACUUUUGCCUCUUAAAACAUUUUGUUGUGCUUGAAUGUUGUCAACACACUCAUCAAGGGGGGGAUUGAGAAAAUCAAGUUGAUAUGAUCCUUGAUUUUAUAGUGAUGAGCAUUUGACAAAUGUUGAAAUGGCUUUGAUGAUAUUUUGGGAGUCAUGAAGCUCUUAUGUCUUUCGCUUGACUCUUUGGUUGUCUUGUGGCAUUCAUCAAGGGGGAGAUUCAGAAAUGGCUUUGAUGCAACCCAGAAUUUUUGUUUGGAGCUUGCAUGAUCCCUUCUCAUUUCAAGUGCCUUUGUGUUUUCUUUUACUUGGUUUUUGGGCACUUGAAUGAGUUCUCUUUUGCUUUCAAAUCAUCUUCUGUCAAUGCACUUAUCAAGGAAGAGAUUGAGACACCAAGUUGAG
rnacentral:lncRNA from 1 species